AUGUCAUUCUCUAGAUUUUGGACUUUGUGGGCUUCCAGAAUUGAGGGAUCAUUACCGAGAGACAUGGUUUCCUCAGUUCUGAACACAGCAGAACCCAAGCCAAGUGUGCCUGCUGGUCAGACAGCAGUUCCACGGAGAAUGUAUUCAGGAAAGAACAAGUUAUUUUCCACUCAUCAGGAUGGCAAAAUCUUUCCAGACUCAUCACACUUGUUACGUGGUCUCUUACUACAGUUUUAACUUAUUUCCUCAAAUGGAUGAAAGAAUUUAAUCUGAAGUUCUUCACUGAAUGGUGGCAAAAGGCUGGAAACAUAAUCUAACUAGCAGCAGUGUACAGGGCCUUGGAUGUGUCUGGAUGUCAUGGGGUGAAGCGGCUGCAUGGACUUCCUCAUGAUGGGAUCCUGGUGGGGUAGUGUUUUGUCAGAGCUUGGUCCAUGCUGUUUAUUUCCAGAACCAUGAAAAAGAAGCUCUUUUCAUCAUUUAUAUAAAGUAGCCUGACUCAGGAGUUUAGUUGCAUUAUUUAAAAUGCUGACUAAUACAUGACUCCUUAGACUUCUGAAUGGUCUCUGCUCUUGUCAAUGACUAAUCUUUUUGAUUUCUUGUUUGUCUACUCUGGUCAUAAAAACAAAACCAUGGCAUAGACAGUCCUUUAUGGAUUUUUUUCAUACAGCAUUAUGAUUUCAAAAGUCAUCUUAAUUACUCUUUUCUAAUACCCAUUAAUACAUUAUUAUAUAAAAACUGAUGUUAAUACUAUUUUUACUAAUUUAGUAUUUAGUUAUCUGAAGGAAUGAUGAUUCUAAAAUACAUUAUUUCUAAACUGCCACAAAUUACAUAGUAUUUUGUGAAGGUUAUAUACUAUAUAAGGAACCUACUGUGCUCCCCACUCUACUUUGGAGAAAAUGCCAACAUGUGAUAGAAAGCAAGCCCAUGCAAGAUACGACCAGAGGCUUUAAGAUGCAGAUGAAGGACAAAAAUGAAAAACAAAACAAACAUAAGCAAACAACAGUUCCGAUUUAAGAGUAAGGAGAUUCUGGGGUAGCACAUAGGAACACGUGCUAGCGGGGUCCGAGGAAAGCUGAAAGCUGGAGCACCCUUCCUUCGGACCUCCAUGUCCUGCUCUCCACACUCAUGCUAGGACUCUAAAAUGGUAUAGUCGCAUGAUGAAGUGGUAUAAUCAGAUGAAGGUUCUCAAAAGAACAGCUCAAUGCUGAAUGUCUACUACAGUCCAGACAUUGAAAUUAGGCACUUUAAU
rnacentral:lncRNA from 1 species